CACACACACAUAUAUAUAUAUAUAUGUAUGCAUCAAAAUAAGCAACAAGGAUAUCCAAUGUAGUGUAGUACAACUGUUUCAUGCUCACUUCAU